CCUUAUUGGAGAGUUUGAUCCUGGCUCAGGACGAACGCUGGCGGCGUGCUUAACACAUGCAAGUCGAGCGGUAAGGCCCUUCGGGGUACACGAGCGGCGAACGGGUGAGUAACACGUGGGUAACCUGCCCUGUACUCUGGGAUAAGCCCGGGAAACUGGGUCUAAU
rnacentral:rRNA from 1 species